GUAUCCUGUUGUGAAUACAUAGCAACAGGAGGCAAACCGGGGGAACUGAAACAUCUAAGUACCCCGAGGAAGAGAAAUCAACCGAGAUUCCGAAAGUAGCGGCGAGCGAAAUUGGAUUAGCCCUUAAGCUUUUAAUGAGACAGAUGAAGGCUCUGGAAAGUGCCGCAAUAAAGGGUGAUAGCCCCGUAAUCGACAUCUCAUAAUCAGUGAAAACGAGUAGGGCGGGACACGUGAUAUCCUGUCUGAAUAUGGGGGGACCAUCCUCCAAGGCUAAAUACUACUGACUGACCGAUAGUGAACCAGUACCGUGAGGGAAAGGCGAAAAGAACCCCUGUGAGGGGAGUGAAAUAGAACCUGAAACCGUGUACGUACAAGCAGUAGGAGCACCUUCGUGGUGUGACUGCGUACCUUUUGUAUAAUGGGUCAGCGACUUAAUUUUAGUAGCAAGGUUAACCGUUUAGGGGAGCCGUAGGGAAACCGAGUCUUAACUGGGCGUACAGUUGCUAGGAUUAGACCCGAAACCAGGUGAUCUAGCCAUGGGCAGGUUGAAGGUUGAGUAACAUCAACUGGAGGACCGAACCGACUAAUGUUGAAAAAUUAGCGGAUGACUUGUGGCUAGGGGUGAAAGGCCAAUCAAACCUGGAGAUAGCUGGUUCUCCCCGAAAGCUAUUUAGGUAGCGCCUCGGACGAAUACUACUGGGGGUAGAGCACUGUUAAGGCUAGGGGGUCAUCCCGACUUACCAACCCUUUGCAAACUCCGAAUACCAGUAAGUACUAUCCGGGAGACACACGGCGGGUGCUAACGUCCGUCGUGGAGAGGGAAACAACCCAGACCGCCAGCUAAGGUCCCAAAGUAUAGCUAAGUGGGAAACGAUGUGGGAAGGCUCAGACAGCCAGGAUGUUGGCUUAGAAGCAGCCAUCAUUUAAAGAAAGCGUAAUAGCUCACUGGUCGAGUCGGCCUGCGCGGAAGAUGUAACGGGGCUAAGCUAUACACCGAAGCUGCGGCUACGUACCUUAGGGUAUGUGGGGUAGGGGAGCGUUCUGUAAGCCGUUGAAGGUGGUCUGUAAGGGCUGCUGGAGGUAUCAGAAGUGCGAAUGCUGACAUGAGUAACGAUAAAGGGAGUGAAAAACUCCCUCGCCGGAAGACCAAGGGUUCCUGUCCAACGUUAAUCGGGGCAGGGUAAGUCGACUCCUAAGGCGAGGCCGAAAGGCGUAGUCGAUGGGAAACGGGUUAAUAUUCCCGUACUUCUUACAAUUGCGAUGGGGGGACGGAGAAGGCUAGGUGGGCCUGGCGACGGUUGUCCAGGUUCAAGUA
rnacentral:rRNA from 1 species